rnacentral:rRNA from 1 species
AGUGAACGCUGGCGGUAGGCCUAACACAUGCAAGUCGAACGGCAGCACAGUAAGAGCUUGCUCUUACGGGUGGCGAGUGGCGGACGGGUGAGGAAUACAUCGGAAUCUACUUUUUCGUGGGGGAUAACGUAGGGAAACUUACGCUAAUACCGCAUACGACCUACGGGUGAAAGCAGGGGAUCUUCGGACCUUGCGCGAUUGAAUGAGCCGAUGUCGGAUUAGUUAGUUGGCGGGGUAAAGGCCCACCAAGGCGACGAUCCGUAGCUGGUCUGAGAGGAUGAACCGCCACACUGGAAACGAGCCCCGGCCCCGCCUCCGCGGGGGGGCGCCGUGGGGAAAUUUGGGAGAAGGGGCGAAGGCCGGAUCAGCCCAUCCCGGGGGGGUGAAAAAGGCUUUGGGGUUGAAAACCCUUUUGGUUGGGAAAAAAAACCAGCAGUUUAAUACCCCCUUGUUCGGACGGUCCCAAAAAAAAAGCCCCCGCCUACCUUCGUG